CAGUAGCCGCGGUAAUACGUAGGGUGCGAGCGUUAAUCGGAAUUACUGGGCGUAAAGCGAGCGCAGACGGUUAUUUAAGCAGGAUGUGAAAUCCCCGGGCUUAACCUGGGAACUGCGUUCUGAACUGGAUAGCUAGAGUGUGUCAGAGGGGGGUAGAAUUCCACGUGUAGCAGUGAAAUGCGUAGAGAUGUGGAGGGAUACCGAUGGUGAAGGCAGCCCCCUGGGAUAACACUGACGCUCAUGCACGAAAGCGUGGGGAGCAAACAGGAUUAGAUACCCCUGUAGUCCCUGUCUCUUAUAC
rnacentral:rRNA from 1 species